AAAAACUUAGGAUAAAUCAAACCAAGAGCCUUCAAAGCUCAAAAUAGGAGUUUAAACCUCCUAGUUUUUG
rnacentral:tRNA from 1 species